UGGCGAACGGGUGAGUAACACGUGGGUGAUCUGCCCUGCACUCUGGGAUAAGCCUGGGAAACUGGGUCUAAUACCGGAUAGGACCAUGCUUUAGUGUGUGUGGUGGAAAGUUUUUUCGGUGUAGGAUGAGCCCGCGGCCUAUCAGCUUGUUGGUGGGGUAAUGGCCUACCAAGGCGGCGACGGGUAGCCGGACUGAGAGGUUAGUCGGCCACAUUGGGACUGAGAUACGGCCCAG
rnacentral:rRNA from 1 species